ACGCUUGAAGUCAGUCGCGUCGACCGAGACUCAGCCUCGCCUUGGCUUGGUGUAAUUCUCGGCUGACGGGUCAGCAUCAAUUUUGCCUCUUGGAUAAUGGCGAGGGAAAUGUGACACCUUUACGGUGUGUUAUAGUCUCUCGUCGCAUGCAAGGGUUGGGAUUGAGGAACUCAGCACGCGCCUUCGGGUGUCGGGGUUACGCCCACGAUACGUGCUUAGGAUGUUGGCGUAAUGGCUUUAAACGACCCGUCUUGAAACACGGACCAAGGAGUC
rnacentral:rRNA from 1 species